rnacentral:rRNA from 1 species
AUUGAACGCUGGCGGCAGGCUUAACACAUGCAAGUCGAGCGGAGCGAGGGUGCUUGCACCUUAGCUUAGCGGCGGACGGGUGAGUAAUGCUUAGGAAUCUGCCUAUUAGUGGGGGACAACAUUCCGAAAGGGAUGCUAAUACCGCAUACGCCCUACGGGGGAAAGCAGGGGAUCUUCGGACCUUGCGCUAAUAGAUGAGCCUAAGUCGGAUUAGCCAGUUGGUGGGGUAAAGGCCUACCAAGGCGACGAUCUGUAGCGGGUCUGAGAGGAUGAUCCGCCACACUGGGACUGGGACCCGGCCCAGACUCCUACGGGAGGCAGCAGUGGGGAAUAUUGGACAAUGGGCGGAAGCCUGAUCCAGCCAUGCCGCGUGUGUGAAGAAGGCCUUUUGGUUGUAAAGCACUUUAAGCGAGGAGGAGGCUCUUAAGGUUAAUACCCUUGAUGAGUGGACGUUACUCGCAGAAUAAGCACCGGCUAACUCUGUGCCAGCCGCCGCGGUAAAAC